GGUUAAGCGACUAAGCGUACACGGUGGAUGCCCUGGCAGUCAGAGGCGAUGAAGGACGUGCUAAUCUGCGAUAAGCGUCGGUAAGGUGAUAUGAACCGUUAUAACCGGCGAUUUCCGAAUGGGGAAACCCAGUGUGUUUCGACACACUAUCAUUAACUGAAUCCAUAGGUUAAUGAGGCGAACCGGGGGAACUGAAACAUCUAAGUACCCCGAGGAAAAGAAAUCAACCGAGAUUCCCCCAGUAGCGGCGAGCGAACGGGGAGGAGCCCAGAGCCUGAAUCAGUGUGUGUGUUAGUGGAAGCGUCUGGAAAGGCGCGCGAUACAGGGUGACAGCCCCGUACACAAAAAUGCACAUGCUGUGAGCUCGAUGAGUAGGGCGGGACACGUGGUAUCCUGUCUGAAUAUGGGGGGACCAUCCUCCAAGGCUAAAUACUCCUGACUGACCGAUAGUGAACCAGUACCGUGAGGGAAAGGCGAAAAGAAC
rnacentral:rRNA from 1 species